rnacentral:lncRNA from 14 species
CAUUGCUAUGUAAUUACCAUGUCACGUACUAUGUCAUUACCAUAUCAUUACCAUGUCAUUAUGACAUCAUUAUCAUACUAUUACCAUAUCAUUACCACGCUGAUAUAUAUUAUCACACAUCACCAUGUCACUACCAUCUCAUUACCAUAUCAUUACCAUGCCAUCACCAUAUCAUUACCAUCUCAUUAUCAUUUCAUUUCCCCAUGUCAUUUCCCCAUGCAAUUACCAUCUCAUUAACAUAUAAUUAAAUCGCAUUCCCAUCUCAUUAACAUAUUAUUACCAUAUAAUUACUACCUUGUUACCACCUCAUUCCCAUCUCAUUAACAUAUACUUACACCUCAUUCCCAUCUCAUUAACAUAUACUUACACCUCAUUCCCAUCUCAUUCCCAUCUCUCCACCAUCUCAUUAACAUAUACUUACAACUCAUUACCAUGCUAUUACUCUCAUUACUAUCUCAUCACCACCUCAUUAGUAUCAGAUUACCAUGUCAUUACCAUCUAAUUACAAUCUAAUUACCAUAUCAUUACCCCCUCAUUCCCAUCUCAUUACCACCUCAUUACCAUCUCAUUCCCACCUCAUUCCCAUCUCAUUCCUCCCUCAUUCCCACCUCAUUACCAUAUCAUUCCCAUCUCAUUACCAUAUAUUUACCCCCUCAUUACCAUCUCAUUACCAUACGGCAGGCAGGCCGGGUGCGCACAGCUCUGCGGGCGCUGGAGCAGGAGCUGCAGGCGCUGGAGCAGCUGCAGGAGGAGGCUCUGGGCAGCCCCCUGCCCCCCGACGGGCAGCAGAGGGAUCUGCAGAUGCACAGGGAUGAGAUCCAGGAGCUGACGCAGGAGAUCCGAUCCCGGCUGCGAGGUGGGACCCACAGCACCCCAUAGAGACCCAUAGAGACCCAUAGAGACCCAUAGAGACCCAUAGAGACCCAUAGAGACCCAUAGAGACCCAUAGUGACCCAUAGUGACCCAUGGAGACCCAUAGAGACACAUAGAGACACAUAGAGACUCAUGGAGACACAUAGAGACACAUAGAGACACAUAGAGACCAUAGAGACACAUAGAGACCAUAGAGACCCAUAGAGACACAUAGAGACAC